rnacentral:misc_RNA from 1 species
GCCCCAUCCACCCCCUCCACCACCGCCGCCGCCGAAGAGACCCCCAGCACCGCCGCCGAACCCCCCAAACGAGCCGAGGAGGAAGGCCGCGCCCGACGAGGCAAUGAAGAAGGCAGCGCCGGUCUUAGCGGUCUCGGAGAAGACGGAAAAUAUCGUGGGGAGCUCGAUUCUGGGCUCAGCAGAGACCGGGUCGCUGCCGGGCUGCGCGCCGGCCGAGGCGGCGGCACGUAUGGCGGCGGCGGCGGAGCCUCCCCGUGGUGGGCGAGCGGCGGGUUCAUACCUGACGGGCGAGAUGGAUAAGGCUUGCCCCGCGUGGGGCUGCCCCAAGACGCGCGGGGUCGCGGCGGUGGGCACGGAAGAGGACCGCCUCCCGCCGUGGCCGCGGGGCCCCGCUGGCGGGGAACGGAGGGUGAUGCCUUGGGAGGUUAGCGCCAUUUGCGACCGCGGAUACGGUGAGGAUAGGUGUCGGCGUCGGCGUGGGGGAGCGAGGGCGGAGGGCGAGGAGGGGCGGAGGAGGUGCGUCUUCCUCGCCUCCUUGGGUCAGGGUUGGCCGGUUGGGUCAGUUUUCGAGUUUUCUAUUGAGGGUUUAGCUGCGCUGGGCAGUGGGCGCGGCGGCGUGGCGUGGCUACCUCGCACGGCGGCCCGUCAGGCCGUGAUGGCGUGCUACUCGCGACUCGCGAGUUGCGAAAGGAAGCCCUGUUGGGCAGUUGGGGUUUGGACGCUUCACUUUAUGAGCA